rnacentral:rRNA from 1 species
UUUGUAUGGGAAGAACUAUAGCUACGUGUAGUUAUUUGCCGGUACCAUACGAAUAAGCAUCGGCUAACUCCGUGCCAGCAGCCGCGGUAAUACCGGAGGAUGCAAGCGUUAUCCGGAUUCAUUGGGUUUAAAGGGUGCGUACGCUGGCUUGUAAGUCAGUGGUGAAAUGCUGUGGCUUAACCAUAGAAUUGCCAUUGAUACUGCAAGUCUUGAGUACAGUUGAGGUGGGCGGAAUGAGUAAUGUAGCGGUGAAAUGCAUAGAUAUUACUCAGAACUCCGAUUGCGAAGGCAGCUUGCUAAGCUGUAACUGACGCUGAUGCACGAAAGCGUGGUUAGCGAACAGGAUUAGAUACCGUGGUAGUCCACGCCGUAAACGAUGAGCACUGUUUGUUGGCGAUACAUAGUCAGCGACUGAGCGAAAGUAUUAAGUGCUCCACAUGGGGAGUACGUUGGCAACAAUGAAACUCAAAGGAAUUUGAGGGGGUCCCGCCCAAGCGGAGGAACAUGUGGUUUAAUUCGAUGAUACGCGAGGAACCUUACCUGGGCUUAAAUGUAGAGUGCAUG